rnacentral:rRNA from 1 species
CGACGCUGGCGGCGUGCUUAACACAUGCAAGUCGAGCGAGAAAGGGAGCUUCGGCUCCUGAGUAAAGCGGCGCACGGGUGAGUAACACGUGGGUAACCUGCCUUUCAGUGGGGGAUAACAGUUCGAAAGGGCUGCUAAUACCGCAUUCGUCCACACGGUCACAUGUCUGUGUGGAGAAAGAGGCGCAAGCCUCGCUGGAAGAUGGGCCCGCGGUCCAUUAGCUAGUUGGUGGGGUAAAGGCCUACCAAGGCUUCGAUAGAUAGCUGGUCUGAGAGGAUGAUCAGCCACACUGGAACUGAGACACGGUCCAGACUCCUACGGGAGGCAGCAGUGGGGAAUAUUGCGCAAUGGGCGAAAGCCUGACGCAGCAACGCCGCGUGUGUGAUGAAGGCCUUCGGGUUGUAAAGCACUGUUCAGAGGGAAGAAGUGACGGGGGUAAACACUCCGUUUUGACGGUACCUCUGAAGAAAGCACUGGCUAACUCCGUG